UGGAGGUUCGUAUUAGAAUAAGUUCAGUUGCCGUGAGUUGUAAUCUUUGGGGAAUGGAAACCUCUAGAUUUAACUCUGAUGAGUCAGUGAAAAUUGUUUUAUGGAUGUGAGGUUCUUUUGGAUGUUGAUGUGUUUGGUUAAAGGCAUGAUGUUGGCCUAGGCAUGUACCUUGUGUGGUUAUGAGUAUAAAUUGAUAGAAAUUUUACCUUCUUAAGGUGGACGUACAGAUGUUUUGAUGGGACGUACGUAUCAAGGAUUUGAUAUCUUAUUUAGUAUCGAGAUGUCUUAGUGGAGUUGAGUGAUUGACUUGGGAUAUAUGUUUAAAGUGGCUUUGAGAUUGGGAAUCUAUGAGCAGUUGGGAUGAGUUUGUUGUGGUAGUUAUCAAGUGUGUUUAGUACAAGUUAGUUGGUUCCUUCUAGUGCUGUGCCUUUUGUACACUGGCCUCCUAGAACUUUCCUUGCGUAUUCGAUUGGUUAACUGAUUUACGCCUAUCCCUAGUGAUGGUAGAGUAAACCUAUUCUACAGUUUUGAGUUGUGCUACCAAAUGUGAUUCGAGGAAAAUGUUUUGAGUGUCUUUUCCUCUUAUCAACAAGUUGUUGGGGCAGGGAUUUAGGUGGGGGAACCAAAGUUCGAAGUUUUGGGUUGGAGUGAUUGAGACAAUAUUUUUGGGUGGUCUCUGAGUACUAUAAUUGUUUUGAAAUCAGGGUUGUUGGUAGGAACGGAACUAGUGGUAAGUUUUUGUUGAAGCAAUUGAUUGAUGAAAUAGUUGAGAUUUUAUAUGUGUUGUAAGUGUAACUCUAAGGAUGUGGGUUUUCCUAGUUAACUGAGGAAGCGCUUAAUUUUAUUAAUUCCUAAUUCUAGCGACGGAAUUGUUUGUGUUUGGUUUGACUCAAAUGAUGCUUGCUAGACCACUGUGUGACUGAAUUGAUUGUUGGGUUUGGAAUUGAUUGUUUGUGAUACUUUUUUUAUGAACGACGCGUGCAGCAGAGUCGGCUAGGGUUUUGAAAGAGCAAGGAGUGGCCAAGGUUCGACCCUUGGUGUCGUUGUUGGUUGUUUAAAGGAAAAGACGACAUGCAUUCAAUCUUAUUGAUUAGUUAUAUUAC
rnacentral:lncRNA from 1 species